AGCCCGCCUGCCACGUCAGUUUGCCUCCACCAUCCUCCCUCUCGCACUCUCUCUUUCUGCUUCUUUGCUUUUUUCGCAAAAUGCGGCCGAUACCAAAUGCCCCAUUUGUGGCUGGCUUUGGCCGGACUAAGGCCGUUGCACUAGAGUUCAUCUUUAGUUGUGUUUUGUGGAGAUAUCUUUGAGGGGUCUUUUAUCGUCACACAGAGAGAGGAUACAACUGAAGGCUCAUUUGGUUAGCGACCUGUAGCUGAAGUGACCUCAUGGUCUUUCCUCCCAUCAGAGUCCUCCUUACCUCCCCCGCCUGCCCAGUGUUCAGACUACCUGUUCAUCAGGCUACAGUUGAACAGUAGUCUGCACAUUGGUUAGGCUGGGCUGGGACACCUACACAUCCAAACACCGAGGGUGAUGACGGCAAGUCUAAAGCUACGCACAAAAACUGCAUCAUCUUACUGCAUUCCUGUGUGCUGUGUCACCUCAGCUCGCCGUAUCACUGUAUCUCCAGUAUGAAAAAAACUAACACAGCACGGGAACAGAAAGUCCUCUCACCUCCUCAUCCUUGUACCAGGACAGGUUCUCCGCAGUCAGGACAAACCAGUACUCUUUGGAGCCUCCCUUCAUGAUGCUGAUGUUGAGGGUUAACCAGCCUUUCCGGAUCACCUGUGCAGAUGAAGAUGUAGCACAAAGAAAGGGUGGUAGGGAGAGAGGGGUACCAGGAGGAUGGAGGGAAAACAGCUUUAUCAAUCAGGCGUAUGCACUGGUGACAUGAGGGUCCCAUUAAUGUUUCAACAAUCAUACUGGGAUAUAAUUGAAACUAAUAAAAUCUGAAGUCCUUACCUGCUGCAUAACUGUAAAUAGGGUUGUCUUUUUACCUUUAUAUUCAAUUUAGGUUCUUGUGAUUUUUUAAAUAUGCACUCAAACAAAGUUUGAAACUUAGUUUUGAAAGUUGAGAAAAUACACAAUCAGUAGAAAACACUGUGUGCUAUAUGGCUAAAUGUACAGAAAAGCAUCAAUGCUUCAAAUUCUGAAUAUGUGAUGUAUUCCUUGUUUUGUUUUCAGUCAGCAGAAUAGAAAUCCUUAAACCAACAAACAGGUCCAGAUGGUGUCCAGACCAAGCUAUCUUCAAUACAGUGUCAGAGAUCGUAGGUCGGCGGUGGUAUGUUAGUGUCAGUGGGUCAGUAAAAGCUAACCUAUGUACUGGGUGUUAAAAAAAAAGCAGAGUUAGUGGAGUUAACUUUGAAAGGGGACACACAAAGCAGGGUGUACACACCCUCAUUAGGUAAAAAGAGGGAAGGAAUGAGUUUAAAAAAAAAAAGGUAUGGGGAGGAAAAAAGCUUAAAUACUGAGGAAAGAAAGCAGGUUUAGUAGAACUCCUGAAGGGGCUGAAAUCUAAACAGCAAACUUCAUAUUUUAAGAUGGAGAGGGAGCGAACACACGAGACAGAGCUGAAUCGAGAAAUCGCUCUGUGAAGACUAAACGGUUCAUUUUCUAGGAGCCUUUUAAGCUGCAAUGUCUCUCCAUAUAGGAAGAAAUUAAGGGUGUAGGGCUUUACUCUAUGUAAAAGAUGUGCUCCUAUAAUAAGUAAAGCUAGCUAGCUAAUAGAGUAAAAAAGGUUUCAGGUCUGCUGUAGACCUCUCGCCUGCACUCCCUCUCCAUCCAUUAGGGGACUAGAGUGAGUUAAGACCAAAAAAAAAGCUUCCAUUAGUUCAAAAGCACAAACAUAAACAUGAGAGAGAAUGACACAGGAGCUAUACGGGGAGUUUGCCUUGUCGAGGAGGUAACAUUAACUUUUCAGAACAAAGGAAAUGUUUUCAAUCCCCUGUAUUAAAGUCGGUGACCAAGUUCAUAUACAGAAAGAGGAAACCAUGAGAUAUGAGGGUGUUACAGAUGAGAUGCUUUUGUUUCUGCAUGAUUUUAAAGUAGUUGUGAACUGUCAAAGUUACAUCCAUGUCUGACCAGUGUAUGUGAUGCAGAUGAGUCAAUAAAGAUGUUUGAUUAGA